UCUCUUCUAUGUGAUGGUAGUUUAGAUGAUCGAUAUCGACUUGUAAUGUGAAGACAAACUCGCUACUCGCGGUCUCAAGACUUGUAAUAUAAUGUUCUAUCUUUGUUCGGUCUUUUCAAUUCGGAGACUAAUAUGAUGAAUUGUGUUCGGAGACUAAUAUGAUGAAUUGUAUUCAGAGACUAAUCUUCUAUUGUAUUCGAUGAAUUUGUUGUUGAUGUGUGCUGUCUAUAUUUUGUCCAAUUAUACAUUUUUUAACCUCUGCAAAAAACAGAAAAUUAAAAAAAACCUAAUAUUUAUACUAAUGGCACAUCACAUCACAGUGCGUCAUUAGUAUGCCAAAGGAUACUAAUGGCGCAUCAUUAAACAAUGCGCCAUUAGUAUGCCGAAGUUACUAAUGGCGCAUCUUGUUGUUGUGCGCCAUUAGUAUGCCAAAGCACCUGGGUAUACAUGGCCCCCUGGGAGGCAUACUAAUGGCGCACUGUUGUAUAUACUAAUGGCGCAUCUGAGGUGCGCCAUUAGUAUACCAGAUACUAAUGGUGCACCUGUGGUGCGCCAUUAGUAAAAUAUACUAAUGGCGUGACACUAAUGGCGCACCACUAAUGCGCCAUUAAUGGCCAAAUUAGGUGCGCCAUUAGUAGGCCUUUUCCUAGUAGUGGAAGCAACACGAGCGAGGGGGAGAGCAGUAGCAGCAGCGCGAGCAAGUGAGCAAGUGAGAGCCGGAGCAGCAGCACCAAAUCCGGCUGGUAUGGACGUCACCACCGAAGGGGCCUCGCACUGGGGGAGAGCCACCAUGGAGAUGUCGCCUGCGGCGCCGACUUUGAGGUAGCCACACCAUGGGGGUGCGGGAUGGAGCAUCGUCGGCACUGGGAGGUCGAGUUAAGGAGAAUGUGCAAUGCGAUGAGUGUAUAACCUCUUUGAUGGCACCGAGUAGGCCUCGGCUUCGUUCGAGGAGUCGGUGAGGAUGUUGCGGUUCCGGUGGAGUAGGUUAAGGUGGCGCUGUGGGGAUGGAGCAGCCGUUAUAGACGAGGCAAUCGUCAGAGCAGCACCUUGGAGGUGGAGGACGGGGCGGCUGAACCGAUGGGACGGCGAGAUGGACGAUGGAUCCUCAUCCAAGGAGGUGGAUGAGGGACGUCGAGCUGUUGCGUUGGACGACGUCGUCCAGGAAGAGGCUCCGGCUGGGCAGCGGUGAGGUGGCGUAUGGAGGAGGGUGGGGUUUUGUGGCUGGAGCAGAGAGGUUAUGGCGGCCUGGGAUUUCGAAUGGCGAAAAGGAGGCGAUGGGAGAGGGAACCAUGACUUACGGACGCGCUUGUCCAAAAUGUAGGGUGUGUUACAAAAGUACCCCCACCGAUUUGAACUAGCGGCCCAUUCGCCUCAGGGUUAGAAGGGGGAUUUCACGUGUCGGGAUUUGGCAGUUGGAGGGAGUUUUCGCGCGUGUUGUAAUUUCAGCAUAGCAAGGUGCGGGUUGUGAAGGCGCGUGUUUUGGAAGCAUGAUAUCUGAAUUUUUAGGAUAUAACAAGGUGCUGGUUGAAUUUUAGGGACAAACCUAACGUGUAAUAUUGUACUUGUACGUACCAAAUCAAUUCGCACUUCCCUCAAUGAAAAAAACAAAAAAAUAAUACUAUUCACAACACACAAAGAGAGAGUCUUGUCCCAUUUUACUAUAUAAAUGCUAUUUAAAGCUAUGAAUUCAUGUUAUGUCCAAUUGAAUUUUUUCACUGAAUGUAUAAUGCAUGUAACCUACUCAUACUAACAUUUUAGUGCAUUCCAAAUGUCUAUUCUACCGCUGCAAUUCGAACUAAAUUUGAAUUUGUUUCUCUAUUUGUUAUAUGCAAAUUUAAAGUGCAUAUAUGUCAUAUUUUGAACAUGUCGCAAUCUUAGUUGCUUAACCGAGUGGCCUAUGUUUUGCCAGAAAUGUCAACUCGUUUAUGUUCUGGCAAAUUUCGGGCGCUCGAUAUGUCCUUCUUUUAGCAAAGGUCAUGCCAAAUUUUUCUAAGUGUUUAUUAAUUUUGUUUUCAUAAUUAAGCAUUUUGUUAUCGACGUCGAUGAUGCCUAUCCCGCAGCCUCGUCGUCGACUCGGCGGAGGACUCCUGCUUGAGCCGAGGGGCCAUGUCCUGGACUGUGCUCCGCCGGGCUGGUACUGGGUUGUGCUACCUUCUGGUGAUUGCAGUUUAGUGAAGAGCCAGCCCGUCUAGACCCAGAGCUUCUUUGGUGGCGGUCACGUGGGCCUGCAUCGGUGCAGAGGCUUGAGUCCCCCGCGCAGGUGGUACAGCACCGUGUCAUGAAGGAGAACGCGCACGUCCAGCGCUACAUGGUUGUGUUGGCGAACGACAGGUUCUCCAAUACCUGGCAGAUUCUUUGGGGAUCUCACAGGAGCUAUGAUCCUGUGAUGGUUCCACUACUAGGAAAAGGGCUAUAGAUGAUAUGGGCGUUAAUGGCGCACCAUGUAUGUGGUGCGCCAGUCCUAUAUAGCAGUGGCGCACCAGAUACAGGUGCGCCAUUAGUAAUAUAUAUUACUAAUGGCGCACCACACAUUAGGUGCGCCAUUAGUAGUUCAAAAAAAAUAAAAAAAUUGUUAGUAAUGGCGCACCAUGGGAUAGUGCGCCAUUACUAGUUGACAUAGUAAUGGCGCACCACACCCACCGUGCGCCUUUAGUUGUUUUGAAAAAAAUGUUAGUAAUGGCGCACCAGUGGAUAGUGUGCCAUUACUAGUUUGUUAAUAAUGGCGCACAUUUUUUUUAUUUUUUUCAAAACUACUAAUGGCGCAGCACACAUCAGGUGCGCCAUUAGUAACCCUGGUGCUAAAUGCACCCCCCCUCAAUUGACCGCCUUUUCAGUUUAAAAAAUAAAAGAAAAUGAUGGAAAUGUCAAAUAAAUAAAAGAAAAUAAGUUUCUCAUGUGAUAUGUGUUCUAGUUGUUGGGAAAUUUACAAAUAUGAAUUUCGACUUUAUUUGUAAAAUCUCUCUGGAAUUUAGUAAAAUGGGCAUAACUUUUGCAUACGAACUCGAAAUAAAAAGUUUUCGUAUGAAAAAAAUUGAAAAAAAAAAUUCUAAGUUUUUUUUGAAUAAAAUUGUUAGUAAUGGCGCACUUCUAUGUGGUGCGCCAUUACUAAGCUAGAUAGUAAUGGCGCACCAGGUAGGCAUAGUAAUGGCACACUAUAGGUGCGCCAUUAGUAUAUGGUAUACUAAUGGCGCACCAGGGGUGCCCCAUUAGUAUUAAUUACUAAUGGCGUGAUGCUAGUGGCGCACCUGUAGUGCGCCAUUAGUAGCCAAAACAGGUGCGCCACUAGCAGGCCUUUUCCUAGUAGUGUUCCUUCUCUUUGGGUGUCCACCGCGGCCCAUUGAACCUAGAGGAGCUAUUAUUCGAGAUGUAUUAGUGAUAUUAUAUGAUGAUCUUUGCUACAAACUGCUAUAUAUGUAUUCGAUUAUGGAUUAUUAAUUACCUAUUAGUUAUUUGCUUAUUGAAUGCAAAAUAUAAGCGUGGUUUGUGCUACAAACUACUAUAUAUGUAUUCGAUGAUGGAUUAUAUGAUGAUCUUUUCUACAAACCACGUUCGAUGAUGAUCUUUGCUACAAAAUACUACAAACUACAAAUUUUAGGUGUUCUAGUUGUUAUAUGAUGAUCUUUACAAACUACUAUAUAUGUAUUCGAUGAUGGAUUAUUAAUUACCUAUUAGGAAAUGUCUGAUGAUGAAAGGGAAUUCGCUAUGUGCGAGUACUGCGAAGAUGAGCGCGGUAUGUGCGACAGGCCUCACCUGGUAGAAGGUCGGCGCUUCAGCAUCAAGCUCCAAGAGACCUUCGAUGUUGAAACGGUACACAAUGAUGACAAGUGUUUUUUUAUUUUUGCAUGACUUCUCUGCUUCUUCAACGUGUAAUUUUUGUCUUUUACAAUUCGACUAGCUUAUCACAUGCCAUGCAAGACGCUAUGUCUUGGAGAAGGUGGGUUUUGAAGAUCAUGAAAGCAUGGAGACAAAGAUAAUUCAACUAAGGACCCAUCAUGGUUAUCAUUUUGCUAGAAAUCUAUACAAUUCUGUGAACUCAUCAAAUUUUUGUUGCCUGAAUUGGGAAUCCCUUUGCAAGGCAUAUGAUUUUCAUGAGGGUAUGCUUCUCACCUUCGAUCUUGGUGAUCCUGACAUCGAUGAAAAGAAUAUGACCAUUUGGGUCCUUGUUGACACGCUUCCAGUUCUACCGCUGUGUGAGUUUCGCAAACAUAUUUAUUAAGUAAUUUAUAUUGUUUAUUUCAAAAUAUUUGACAGCUUAUUUCCAUUGACAGCUUAUUCUCAUUCUUCAAAAAAUGUAUGGAAAAUGGUAGACAGAACCUACUACUACAAUGAUGAAGCAUAAUUAACUAAUAAGGAGAAAGAUGGUAUUAUCGCAUUUUUGACUGAUCUUGAGAAUUACAAUAGCUAUUAUCAAACUCUUCCACAUUAUGAUCAAUACAUGCCACUAGUGCACGUAUUGAACUACAGUAACAUCAAUGGAGAUAGCAUGGUAAGAUUUUCUACUAUUACGACAUAUGUGCAUCUUUUGCAUAAAUUCUUCUAAAACUAAACUACAUUGCUAACUACAAAGUUAUUACUAUGUUUUUGAACUGAAAAUCCCGAUGGAUUGUGUGCCUCAUCUGAUGUUGCCGAGAGGUCACGUUGAUGUUAUGAGCUUAGGGCCACCACGGCCAGGUCAGCCGCAGUAUCCACAUCACUCCUGUCCAUACUGGAUUUCUAAAAGCGAGGAAGCCAUGAUAAUAAAUGAUUUGAAAAAAUGUUUCGACCAUCGUAGAGAGCUACUUGGAAGCAACAUGGUGCGUAGGCCAAGACUUGGAGACAGGAUGAUCUCCGUUCUUUAUUUUGGAGAGUCAAUUUUCCUUAAUGGAGAGUCAAUGCCUAUCUUGUUUUGUGAUAUUUUACCUAAGAGAGGGUAGAGUACGUCCUAUGAGAGGAGUAGGUCAUAGCUAGAAUGUGUUAUUAUGUGCUACAAUGUGUUAGAGUUGAUGAUGAGGAGGAGGAGUUGUGAUUAUGACUAGUGACCAACUUGUUAUAUGAUGUCUCAUUGACGAACAUUGUUUGGUGGUGAUGACAAGUGGUAAUGAAUAUGCUAUUUAAACAGACUAGUUCAUGAUGAGUUGUUAUUGUAUAAAAGAUAUAUCUGUUUAAACAUGUACAACGCCAAAAUGCGAAAAAAACCAUAAAUUUUAGCAGUGGCGCGGGAAAAAAUAUUACCAGCAGCGCUCAUUUACCAGUAGCGCUUUCCAAUGCCGCGCUACUAGUAUCUGAACUUACCAGUAGCGCUGGCUAAACAAGCGCUACUGCAAAAAAUAGCAGUAGCGUCGUAGCAGUAGUGCUGGCGCUCGCGCUACUGGUAGCUCAAAAACCAGCGCUACUGGUAAGGUUUUCCCUAGUAGUGCUCGUGCAUUCCAUGAACUUUCACCUGCAGAAGAAAAAUGGUGGGCCCGCAUGUUGGAACAAUGUAACGUGGCUGUCACCCUAGAAAAUAAGCUGUCAGUAUUCUCAGCUAUGGUCACCUUUCUUCAGGUGAAGACAUCUGAGCGGAUGACCAACAAAUCAUUCGAUGUGAUGUUGGCUGCUUUCCGCAAAGCUUUACCAGAUGCGUGUGAGCUACCACACACCUACAGUAAAAUGAAGAAUUUCCUUCGUGCAGUUGGAAUUGGAUAUGAUAUGAUCCAUGUUUGUAAGAAUAAUUGUGUUCUAUUCCGGAAGGAUUAUGCCAACUUAAGUGAAUACCCCAAAUGCAAAUCAUUAAGAUGGAAAGAUGGCGAUGCUCUGAAGAGGAUUCCUCAUAAUGUUCUGAGACAUUUUCCAAUUACACCAACAUUGUAGAGGUUGUUUCAUGAUGCUCAAACAAGAGAGGAUGUACUAUGGCAUUCUAGGAACCAGGAGUACAGAGAUCAGAAUCUAAUGAGCCAUCCAUCACAUGGUAGUGAGUGGAAAAGCUUCAAUCAGAAGCGCAAAAAGUUUGCUGCUGACCCGAGAAACAUUAGACUUGGCUUAGCUUCAGAUGGAUUUAACCCAUUUGGCCACCAGAGCGCCACAAAUAGCAUGUGGCCAGUACUUGUUAUCCCUUACAACAUGCCUCCAAAUGUCUGCACCAAAGAAUCAAACUACAUGAUGGCCUUGCUCAUCCCAGGUCCAAAAAGUCCUGGAAAUGAUUUUGAUUUGUUCAUGGAGCCUCUUGUGGAGGAACUUCAACAGCUAUGGAGGGGUGUUCUCACUCGAGACCUAUAUAGCAGCCCACCAGUUGAUUUCUUUCUGUGUGUUGUUAUAAUUUGGUGCAUCCAUGAUUAUCUGGAUUUGGGCACUAUGUCAAGGCGGCGUACCAGACCAACGAGCCUUUUAUUUUGGCAAAUCAAGCAACACAGAUAUUUUUCUUGGAAGACACAUUUGCACGUAGCGAUGACUAGAGAGUAUUGCAAAGGUUUGAGCAGAGGAAUUCGUUUAAUGAAGUUGCAUAACAAGAUGAUGCUUACACUGCUCCUGAUGUACAAGAUAACACAGAUGUUCCUAAUAUCUUUGAGAACCAUCACAUCAAUGACGCCGGCAAAAAGAUUGCCUGUCGUGCUGUGGACAUACAAGAGUUGAUCAAGAAGAAGCCAACUUUCAAGAACGUUGAGGAUGAAGAAGAAGAUGACACGGUGGGGAAUUACGAUUCAGACUAAUACACGUGGUGAAGAUGUUGACACUGCUCCUAUAGAUGAUGAUUACAUUGCUUGUGUCGUAUUUGCCUGUCAAAUGACAUUUUUAUCUACUAUGUGAAAUUGUGUUUGCUAUGACAACUGAAACCUGAUGAACAUGUUGUUUAGUAUUUUCCUGUGAGAACAUCACUUGUUAUGUAUGCUGAUUUGUGUUUGGUGAUUGUAUGACGACUAAAACAUGAUGACAUUGUUGUUUAGUUGUACUCAUAUUUGGUUGUGAAACUUGAAUUUGAUGACAUAGUUUGUUGUUGGACUGCAAUUUGCUCGAUGUCUUCGAAUGAGAACAAAGCUAACCCGACAGGGCCUCUGCUAACUUAUUUAGGCCUCCUUUGGUUCAUAGGAUUGGAAAAUCAUACGAAUAGGAAAGUCAUAGGAAAUGAGAUGACAUGCAUCUCAAAUCCUAUGCAUAGGAAUAGAAAAGGAGAUGCCCUUUGAUUCAGACCAUAGGAUUUUUUCCAUUGAGUCUAGGCUAAUGUUUAUUUUCCUAUGGAAUGUGGAGGAUAGAAAGAAUUCCUCCAUAGGAAUAGGAUUUCAUUCCUACAAACCAAAGAGCUCUGAAGGAAUUUUUCCUAUAGAAAUCCUAUCCUAUGAAAAUCCUACAAAAUUCCUCCAAACCAAAGGAGGCCUUAUUUAUUACCAAAAGGGCCUCUGCUAUUUAUUUAUUUAUGAGAAAAAGGGGAUACCCCCUGAUUUCCGUUAAUAGAAAUCAUUAGAUGUUCACAACACUAUGCCUAGCCUGCUACAUAGGUUUCAUUCAUUACUAGUUUCAGCAAAGUACUCAUGUCAUAGCCAUUGAAUACAUCAUGAGUGCUACAUACACUCCAAAUAAAGAGACAAUCAUCCUACAGAGCACAUCGAUUUUGCCCAUUAUCUUCACCAGAUCUUUCAUCUCCUCAUUGCUAUCAAGGCCGUUCAGCACCUGUUGCUUGGCCAUGAUCAAAGGAACUGCAUCUUUAACCUUCUGCUUUGCAUCUUCCUCUUUUGUUGUUCCUUCAGUUACUUGUCCAACACCCCAACCUGCUGGUAUUGGGAUUCCUUGGCUAACCAAAUAAUCAGCGUAGUUGCACUCCCCACAUCAGCAACUUCCCAGAAAUACAAAUCACACGAAUCUUCCCUUUUACGCACGAAUCAAAUUGGAAGAUCAUCAACCAAACUAUUAAAAAAUCAGCAAUUGAAAGCAGCAGAACAACACUUAAACAUAUUAUUACCCCAUGAUUCGGGCAUUUGUAGAAGACUCGGCCAGGGUUAAGGAUUGUGAUUGAGAUGCGACGGGUGACACUGCGUGAUUUGCAACAGUGGCACCACACCAACAGCAGCGGGUUGCGAUGAGAAACCGGCGGCGGUGCGCGUGCCGGCGGGGGUGUGAUGAGACCCACAGGCGAUGGUACGGGUGGCGACUUGGCGCAUAUUUGGUUGUUGCCUGCUGAAGAGCAGGUGGAUGAGCAGCCAUCGGACAUGGUUGUUGCAGCCAGAGCUUCUGAUGCUACGCAGAGUAAGUAGAGAAGAGGAGAAGCGAACGUUGGAUAUGUCAGUUUCAUUACUUGCAGAGUAGCAUAGCACCAUAUAUAGUCAUAGUCUAGGUUUAGAUUCGAACCAGCUACAGGGGCACGUCUCUCUUGUUUCUAAAACUCAGCAACAUCUCUUUACUGGUACACUAGCUUGUUCUGUAUGCCUUCUCAAGUCUUUGGUUCCUCCACCUGACAUCUGGGACCCACCGGAAGGGCCUCUAUAUUUCGCGAAAAAACAUGCCCCCCGCUGACAGGUCGGACCCACUAGCUAUCUUCACAUGCAAGGAAGUGCCUCCUUAUCACGCACAAAAAAAUGAAUACUCCCCCUGCCAGCUGGAACCCAGCAUCGUUGGAGGAUGACUUGUGGGCCUACCAAGUUGACGGGGACGGAGGGCUUUGUCAACUUAGUCAAUAUGGAUGAUUCUAGCUACAGUUACCGUACGAUGUUCAUCCAACAGCAGUAGUGCUUCUUCAACCUCUGGUCUUCUUGCUCCAGCUGCCCAAACCAGCGCCGGUCAUGCCGCGUGCUCCUGCCUCCCGUGGUCGGCUGUAAUGUCGCGGAGUCCUCACCGCCCCCUACUACUCACACUGCUGGCCAGGGCAUCCCUCUACUCACCCACACCCCCUGUUAUUCUACGGCGACGGUAGCCUCACACCGCAGCCGAACCAGUGAACCCUCGUACUCCUCUCCGCAUGGGCAUCCACUAUCGCGUCUUCCCCGGCUCCGUGUUGUCCCCUUCCUAGGCCUCGUUGUCAUCCACCACCUUGGUGCUCUCGGCUCGGCGUGGUCAAUGUGGUCAACGACCGACUUCCAUCGGAAUACUAGUGUACAUGGAGAGGCUGACAGCUGGGUCCACGGCCGCAGUUGGGUCCACGGCCACAGCCUAGGUUUUUUGUGAUUUGCCAAGUAAGUCGCUUUGUCAGGCCUGUUGGGAUGCAAAUCUUUCAAGUCAAGGACAGCUUCAUUCAGUUGGCCGAGAAAAUGGCCUAUCAGUAAUGAGAAAUGGGUUGUACAUUUUUAAAACACAUCAAACCGGCAAUUAGUUUCAAAUUUCUUUUUUUUUUCAUUUCGAGAUUUUAAAUUGCAUUGAUUUUUAUGUGUGGACAAUUUGUUGGAUUUUAUAUUGAUAUAGAUUUAUUUUUAAAAUCAGUUUGAGUGUGACUCAAAAUUUCAGGAUUAAAAACAGUUCGGACUGCACCGAAAUAUGCGAAAUUCCAUAUAAUUUUUUAACCAUGGCCACAAUAUGAGCUGUAACGGUAACAAAAAGAAUAUGGGCUCCAAAAAACCUUAAGAAUUAGCAAAUGGGCUAUAAAUUAUUAGAAAUAAUGGCAGAUGGGUUGUAUGAUGUUUUCCACAGAUUUGAGGCUUUCCUCAAAAAAAGGUUGACACACAAGCAGUGAUUGUUGGAUGUGCAUCCAACGGCCGUCGUGCUUCUUCAAUCUUUGCUCUUCCUGCUCCAGCCACUCAAACAAGCACCGGCGGGACUGCCUGCUCUCUCCUCCCCGUGGCUGGCUGUGCUGCCGUGCAGGCCUCACCGCCCACCAUACUCCCAUCGCUGGCCUAGCCAUCUCUCUACUCACCCUCACCUGCUAUUAUUCUCCGGCGACGGCAAACAAACCAGUAAACCCUCGUACAGUCGUACUCCCCUCCGCGUGGGAAACAACUACCGAGUCUUCCCUGCCUCCGUGUCGUUCCCUUCCUAGGCCACAUCAUCGUCCACCGCCCUAGUGCUCUCGACGCUGCCUUGUCAACGUGGUCAACGACCGACAUGCAUCUGAAGUGGACUAUACAUGGAGAGGCUGACAGCUGGGUCCACUUCCGCACGCAAGGAAAUGCCUCCUUAUUACGCGCAAAAUAAUGAUUCCUCCUCCUGACAUCUGGGACCCAUCGAAAAGGCCUCUGUAUUUCGCGAAAAAAAUGUUACCGCUGCUGACAGCUUGGACCCACCAGCUAUAUCUUCGCACGCAAGGAAGUGCCUCCUUAUUAUGCACAAAAAAAAUAAAUACCCCCCUGCUAGCUGGGACCCAGUAUAGUGGCAGGCUGACUUGUGGGCCUACUAAGUUGACGUGGACGGAGGGCUCUGUCAACUUAGUCAAUAUGCACGAUUCUAGCUCCAAUGACCGUACGAUGUCCACCCAACGCCCGUAGUGCUUCUUCAACCUCUGGUCUUCUUGCUCCAGCCGCCCAAACCAGCGUCGGUCGUGCCUCGUGCUCCUGCCUCCCGUGGCCGGCUGCGAUGCGGCGGAGGCCUUACCGCCCCCUACUACUCCCACCACUGGCUAGGCCAUCCCUCUACUCACCCACACCCCAUGUUAUUCUGGGGCGAUGACGGCCUCACACCGUAGCGAACCAGUGAACCCUCAUACUCCUCUACGCAUGGGCAUUCACUGACGCAUCUUCCCCGGCUCUGCGUCAUCUCCUUCCUAGGCCUCACCGUCAUCCACCGCCCUGGUGCUCUCGGCGCGGCAUGGUCAACGUGGUCAAGGAACGACUUCCAUCGGAAGAGUACUGAGGCUGAUAGCUGGGUCCACGACAGCCGCAAGGAAGUGCCUCCUUAUUACGUGGAAAAUAAUUAUUCCUCCACCUGACAGUAGGGACCCACCGGAUGGGCCACCGUAUUUGGCGAAAAAACGUUUCCCCUGAUUGCUGGGACCCACCGGAUGGGCCACCGUAUUUCGCAAAAAACCGUUCCCCCCGCUGUCAGCUCGGACCCACCGGAAGUGCCUCCUUAUUACACACAAAAAAUGAAUAUUCCCCUGCUAGUUGGGACCUGAUGUCUACUACACAACCUUCUUCUUGUAGACGUUGUUGGGCCUCCAAGUGCAGAGGUUUGUAGGUCAGUAGCAAAUUUCCCUCAAGUGGAUGGCCUAAGGUUUAUCAAUGCGUAGGAGGCGUAGGAUGAAGAUGGUCUCUCUCAAGCAACCCUGCAACCAAAUAACAAAGAGUCUCUUGUGUCCCCAACACACCCAAUACAAUGGUAAAUUGUAUAGGUGCACUAGUUCGGCGAAGAGAUGGUGAUACAUGUGCAAUAUGGAUAGUAGAUAAAGGUUUUUGUAAUCUGAAAAUAUAAAAACAGCAAGGUAACUAAUGAUAAAAGUGAGCGUAAAUGGUAUUGCAAUGCAUUGAAACAAGGCCUAGGGUUCAUACUUUCGCUAGUGUAAGUUCCCUCAACAAUAAUAUCAUAACUGGAUCACAUAACUCUCCCCCAAAAUGCAACAAAGAGUCACUCCAAAGUCACUAAUUGUAGAGAACGAACGAAGAGAUUAUGGUAGGGUACGAAACCACCUCAAAGUUAUUCUUUCCAAUCAAUCCGUUGGGCUAUUCCUAUAAGUGUCACAAACAGCCCUAGAGUUCGUACUAGAAUAACACCUUAAGACACAAAUCAACCAAAACCCUAAUGUCACCUAGAUACUCCAAUGUCACCUCAAGUAUCUGUGGGUAUGAUUAUACAAUAUGCAUCACACAAUCUCAGAUUCAUCUACUCAACCAACACGAAGGAACUCAAAGAGUGCCCCAAAGUUCUAACGGAGAAUCACGACAAAAACAUGUGCCAACCCCUAUGCAUAGGUUCAUGGGCGGAACCCGCAAGUUGAUCACCAAAACAUACAUCAAGUGAAUCACGUGAUAUCCCAUUGUCACCACAGAUAUCCACGGCAAGACAUACAUCAAGUGUUCUCAAAUCUUUAAAGACUCAAUCCGAUAAGAUUACUUCAAAGGGGAAACUCAAUUCAUUACAAGAGAGAAGAGGGGGAGGAGAAACAUAAGAUCCAACUAUAAUAGCAAAGCUCGCGAUACAUCAAGAUCGUGCCAAAUCAAGAACACGAGAGAGAGAGAGAGAGAUCAAACACAUAGCUACUGGUACAUACCCUCAGCCCCGAGGGAGAACUACUCACUCCUCGCCAUGGAGAGCACCGGAAUGAUGAAGAUGGCCAUCGGAGAAGGAUUGCCCCCUCCGGCAGGGUGCCAGAACGGGUCUAGAUUGGUUUUCGGUGGCUACAGAGGCUUCUAGCGGCGGAACUCCCAAUCUAAUCUCCGUUCUGGAAGUUUUAUGAUACAUAGGUAUAUAUGGGUGCAGGAGGUACGUCAGAGGAGCUACGGGAGCCCCACGAGGUAGGGGGCGCACCCUAGGGGGAAGCGUGCCCCCCACCCUCGUGAGCACCUCCCGUAUCUCCUGACGUGGUGUCCAAGUCUAUCUGGUGGCUUUCGUUCCAAAAAUAACUUCUCUAGUUGAUUUUGUUCCGUUUCGACUCCAUUUGAUAUUCCUUUUCUUCGGAACACUGAAAUAGGCAUAAAAUAGCAAAUCUGGGCUGGGCCUCCGGUUAAUAGGUUAGUCCCAAAAAUAAUAUAAAAGUGGAAAAUAUAGCCCAAUAUUGCCCAAAACAGUAUAUAAUAUAGCAUGGAGCAAUCAAAAAUUAUAGAUACGUUGGAGACGUAUCAAGCAUCCCCAAGCUUAAUUCCUGCUCGUCCUCGAGUAGGUAAAUGAUAAAAAGAUAAUUUUUGACGUGGAAUUCUAGUUGGCAUAAUUUCAAUGUAAUUCUUUUUACUUGUGAUAUGAAUAUUCAGAUCCGAAAGAUUCAAGACAAAUGUUCAUAUUGACAUAAAAAUGAUAAUACUUCAAGCAUACUGACUAAGCAAUUAUGUCCUCUCAAAAUAACAUGGCCAAAGAAAGUUCAUCCCUACAAAAUCAUAUAGUUUAUUCAUGUUUCAUUUUCAUCACACAAGAAUGCUCUCAUCAUGCACAACCCCGAUGACAAGCCAAGAAAUUGUUUCAUACUUUAGUAAUCUCAAACUCAUAAACUUUCAUGCAAUACAUGAGCGCGAGCCAUGGAUAUAGCACUAUGGGUGGAAUAGAAUAAUGAUAAUGGAGGUUAUGUGGAGAAGACAAAAAGGAGAAAGUCUCACAUCAACGAGGCUAAUCAAUGGGCUAUGGAGAUGCCCAUCGAUUGAUGUUAAUGCAAGGAGUAGGGAUUUCCAUGCAAUGGAUGCACUAGAGAUAUAAAUGUAUGAAAUCUCAACAAAAGAAACUAGUGGGUGUGCAUCCAACUUGCUUGCUCAAGAAGACCUAGGGCAUUUGAGGAAGCCCAUUGUUGGAAUAUAUAGGCCAAGUUCUAUAAUGAAAAAUUCCCACUAAUAUAUGAAAGUGAUAACAUGAGAGACUCUCUAAUAUGAAGAUCAUGGUGCUACUUUGAAGCACAAUAUAUGAGACUCGCUAUAUCAUAGUGCUACUUUGAAGCACAAGUGUGGAAAAAAGGAUAGUAGCAUUGCCCCUUUUAUUUUAUUUUUUAUUUUUUUUAUAUUUACUUUUUGGGCCUUCUUUUUUUCUCUUUGGCCUUUCUCUUUUCUCUUUGUUUGGGACAAUGCUCUAUUGAAUGAUGACCAUCACACUUCUAUCUAUUUACAACUCAAUGAUUACAACUCGAUACUAGAACAAAGAUGACUCUAUAUGAAUGCCUCCGGCGGUGUACCGGGAUGUGCAAUGAAUCAAGAGUGACAAGUAUGAAAUAAUUAUGAACGGUGGCUUUGCCACAAAUACUAUGUCAACUACAUGAUCAUGCAAAGCAAUAUGACAAUGAUGAAGCGUGUCAUAAAUGAAACGGUGGAAAGUUGCAUGGCAAUAUAUCUCGGAAUGGCUAUGGAAAUGCCAUAAUAGGUAGGUAUGGUGGCUGUUUUGAGGAAGAUAUAAGGAGGUUUAUGUGUGACAGAGCGUAUCAUAUCAUGGGGUUUGGAUGCACCGGCGAAGUUUGCAUCAACUCUCAAUGUGACAAAGGGCAAUGCACGGUACCGAAGAGGCUAGCAAGGAUGGAAGGGUGAGAGUGUGUAUAAUCCAUGGACUCAACAUUAAUCAUAAAGAACUCACAUACUUAUUGCAAAAAUCUACAAGUCAUCAAAAACCUCGGCACUACGCGCAUGCUCCUAGGGGAUAGAUUGGUAGGAAAAGACCAUCGCUCGUCCCCGACCGCCACUCAUAAGGAGGACAAUCAAAUAACACCUCAUGUUUCAAAUUUGUUACACAAUGUUUACCAUACGUGCAUGCUACGGGACUUGCAAACUUCAACACAAGCACUUCUCAAAUUCACAACUACUCAACUAGCACGACUUUGAUAUUAUUACCUCCAUAUCUCAAAACAAUCAUCAAGCAUCAAACUUCUCAUAGUAUUCAACACACUCAUAAGAGAAUUUUAUUAUUCUUGAAUACCUAGCAUAUUAGGAUUUUAAGAAAAUUACCAUGCUAUUAAGACUCUCAAAAUAAUCUAAGUGAAACAUGAGAGUUCAUCUAUUUCUUCAAAAUAAAACUACCACCAUGCUCUAAAAGAUAUAAGUGAAGCACUAGAGCAAAUGACAAACUACUCCGAAAGAUAUAAGUGAAAAUCAAUGAGUAGUCGAAUAAUUAUGCAACUAUGUGAAGACUCUAUAACAUUUAAUAAUUUCAGAUCUUGGUAUUUUACUCAAACAGAAAGAAAAGCAAAAUAAGAUUACAUUCUAAGAAUGGCAAACAUCAUGUGAAGAAGCAAAAACUUAGGAUCAACCGAAACUAACCGAUAGUUGUUGAAGAAGAAAGGUGGGAUGCCAACCGGGCAUCCCCAAGAUUAGAUGCUUGAGACUUCUUGAAAUAUUAUCUUGGGGUUCCUUGGACAUCCCCAAGCUUGAGAUUUUGUGUUUCCUUAAUUCCUCUCAUAUCACGGUCUCCCUAAAUCUCAAAAGCUUCAUCCACACAAAACUCAACAAGGACUCAUGAGAUAAGCUAGUAUAAACCAUUGCCAAAACCUUAUCAUACUCUACUGUAGAAAAUCACUAAAAUUAUUAUUCAACAUUUCAUACUAAAUUCCUCUGCAUAUUUAAUAGUCCUAUCCUCAAAUAGAAUCAUUAAAGAAGCAAACAUAUUCAAACAAUGCAAACAUAACAGCAAUCUGCCUAAACAGGAUAGUCUGUAAAGAAUGCCGCAACAUCCAUACUUCCCUAGCUCCAAAAAUUAUGAAAGAAAAUUCCCACUGUAGUAAAUUUAUCAUAUCUUAAUAUGCAAAAGGUUUCAACAUUUUAUCAAUUACUGACUUUUCUAGGGAAUUAUUGCAACAGAGGUAAACUUUCUGUUUUCAAACAGCAACAUGUAUACUUGUAACAUAGGCAUAGUAAAGACUAUUAAUGCCACUUUUAUUGAAAUAAAAUAUGAAAAACAUUGUUCUAAAUAAAAGCAAGAAAAUCCUAACAAAAUAAAUUGACGCUCCAAGCAAAACACAUAUCAUGUGGUGAAUAAAAAUAUAGCUCCAAGUAAAGUUACCGAUGAACGAAGACGAAAGAGGGGAUGCCUUCCGGGGCAUCCCCAAGCUUACGCUCUUGGUUGUCCUUGAAUAUUACCAUGGGCUACCUUGGGAAUCCCCAAUAUUAGGAUCUUGCCACUCCUUAUUCCAUAGUCCAUUGAAUCCUUACCUAAAACUUGAAAACUUCACACCACAAAACUUAAAAGAAAACUCGUAAGCUCCGUUAGUAUAAGAAAACAAAAGACCACUUCAAGGUACUGUGAUGAACUCAUUCUUUAUUUAUAUUGGUGUUAAACCUACUGUAUUCCAACUUCACCAUGGUUUAUAAACUAUUUUACUAGCCAUAGAUUCAUCAAAAUAAGUAAACAGCACAAUGAAAACAGAAUCUUUCAAAAACAGAACAGUCUGUAGUAAUCUGAAUCAAACGUAUACUUAUGGAACUCAUAAAAUUCUCAAAUAAAUUGCUGGACCUGAGAAAUUUAUCUAUUAAUCAUCUGAAAAAAUAAUUAACUAAAUAUAACUCUCCAAAUAAAAAUGGCAGCAAUUCUCGUGAGUGCUAAAGUUUCUGUUUUUUACAGCAUGAUCAACAAGACUUUCCCCAUGUCUUCCCAAAGGUUCUACUUGGCACGAACACUAAUUAAAAUCAUAAAACCACAUCUAAACAGAGGCUAGAUGAAUUAUUUAUUACUAAACAGGAACAAAAAGCAAGGAACAAUAAUAAAGUUGGGUUGCCUCCCAACAAGCGCUAUCGUUUAACGCCCCUAGCUAGGCAUGAUGAUUUCAAUGAUGCUCACAUAAAGGAUAAGAAUUAAAACAUAAAGAGAGCAUCAUGAAGAAUAUGACUAGCACAUUUAAGUCUAACAUGCUUCCUAUGCAUAGGAAUUUUGUGAGCAAACAACUUGUGGGAAUAAGAAUCAACUUGCAUAGGAAGGUAAAACAAGAAUAACAUCAAAACUUUAAGCACAUAGAGAGGAAACUUGAUAUUAUUGCAAUUCCUACAAGCAUAUAUUCCUCCCUCAUAAUAAUUUUAAGUAGCAUCAUGAAUGAAUUCGACAAUAUAACCAGUACCUAAAGCAUUCUUUUCAUGAUCUACAAGCAUAGAUAAUUUACUACUCUCCUCAUAGGCAAAAUUCUUCUCAUUCGGAAUAGUGGGAGUAUCAUAGGAAACUCGAAUACUAUAAAUUAUUUCCAUAUUAAAAGAGUAAUGUUCAGAGAAGGGGUAAUCAUAAUCAUGACAAGUUUUACAAAUAUAAUCACUACUUUUUAUAGCAUAAGUAUCAUCACAAUAAUCAUCAUAAGUAGGAGGCAUGCUAUCAUCAUUAUAGACUUGCAUAUCAAAAGUUGGGACACUAAAAAUAUCAUCUUCAUUAAUCAUAGAUUCCGCAAGCUUGGGACAAACAUUAAUUGAAGCAAAUAUAUUCUCAAAUAUGUCAUCCUCAUCAAACAUAGCUUCCCCAAGCUUGGGCCUUUUCAUAUCAUAAGCAUAAUCACUCUCAUCAUUAAUAGUAUAGAUAGCACCGAUAGUAUAGCAAUUAUUAUAUUCUUCCAAGCAAGUGCCAAAAAGAUUUUCAAGAUCAUAAGAAGUAUCAUUAUCUUCCACAAUUAUAUUUUCAUGAGGCACAAUAGUAAUAGGAGCAGCAUUAUUUGGGAGAGAUAUCUUUUUACCUCUCUUCCUUUUUCUUUUAUUCUUCUACACCACAUCAUGUGUGGGUUCAAUCCUCUUUUUGGAGCUCCUUAUUAAUGAGAUUGGUUGAAUAGGAGGCUCCUCCUCGUUACCUGAUUCAUCAUAAGAAAUAAUAAGAGGAUAUUGGGAAGUAUCUUCCCUUUCAUUAGUAUUCUCUUCAUCUUCUAUUUGUUUUCUUUUCUUUAUGUAAUUGGAAAUAUAAGGAAUUUCAGUGCAAUUCACCGCACAAUACAAAUAAAUUUCCUCUAGGUAAAAAUGAAGAACUCUAUCAAGGUUAAACUUUGGAAUACCCUCAGUUAUAUGUUUCAUUUCCUCAUACCCCAAAAGAAGACUAAUCUCUUUAUGAUGCUCAAGGGUAAUCAAAUUAUCACAAUUUUUGGAUAUGAUUCGGUCAUGAAACAAUUUGCAUUGGAUAUUUAAAUGACCAUGUUCAUUGCAAAGUUCACAAGGGGCGCGAAAAAUAUUGAAUUUUUCAGCACAAUCAUCAAGACUUUCUUGCAACAAUUUGGUUUCUAAGUACUUAUGCCUCUUGCAAUAUCUAUCUUCCCUAUUUGGUGUGUACUUGCAAACCCAGUCUACUCCACAAAAAUUGACAUGUUUAUUGGAGGCAUUUUCAUCAUAACUAGUGCAAUCAUCAUUAGCAUCAUGGAUAUUCAAAGAAUUCAUACUAACAACAUUGCAAUCAUGCUCAUCAUUCAAAUAUUUAGUGUCAAACAUUUUAGAGAUCUCUUCUUCUAGAACUUGAGCACAAUUAUCCUUUCCAUCAUAUUCACGAAAGAUAUUAAAAAGGUGAAGCGUAUGAGACAAACUCAAUUCCAUUUUUUUGUAGUUUUCCUUUAUAGACUAAACUAAUGAUAAAACAAGAAACUAAAAGACUCGAUUGCAAGAUCUAAAGAUAUACCUUCAAGCGCUAACCUCCCCGGCAACGGCGCCAGAAAAGAGCUUGAUGUCUACUACACAACCUUCUUCUUGUAGACGUUGUUGGGCCUCCAAGUGCAGAGGUUUGUAGGACAGCAGCAAAUUUCCCUCAAGUGGAUGAACUAAGGUUUAUCAAUUCGUAGGAGGUGUAGGAUGAAGAUGGUCUCUCUCAAGCAACCCUGCAACCAAAUAACAAAGAGUCUCUUGUGUCCCCAACACACCCAAUACAAUGGUAAAUUGUAUAGGUGCACUAGUUCGGCGAAGAGAUGGCGAUACAAGUGCAAUAUGGAUAGUAGAUAAAGGUUAUUGUAAUCUGAAAAUAUAAAAACAUCAAGGUAACUAUUGAUAAAUGUGAGCGUAAAUGGUAUUGCAAUGCGUUGAAACAAGGCCUAGGGUUCAUACUUUCGCUAGUGUAAGUUCCCUCAACAAUAAUAUCAUAAUUGGAUCACAUAACUAUCCCUCAACAUGCAACAAAGAGUCACUCCAAAGUCACUAAUAGUGGAGAACGAACGAAGAGAUUAUGGUAGGGUACGAAACCACCUCAAAGUUAUUCUUUCCAAUCAAUCCGUUGGGCUAUUCCUAUAAGUAUCACAAACAACCCUAGAGUUCGUACUAGAAUAACACCUUAAUACACAAAUCAACCAAAACCCUAAUGUCACCUAGAUACUCCAAUGUCACCUCAAGUAUCCAUGGGUAUGAUUAUACGAUAUGCAUCACACAAUCUUAGAAUCAUCUAUUCAACCAACACAAGGACCUCAAAGAGUGCCCCAAAGUUCUACCGGACACUACUAGAAAAAGGGCUAUAGAUGGGAUUGACACUAAUGGCGCACCAGACAAGCGGUGCGCCAUUAGUAUAUACUAAUGGCGCACCACCUCCUGAUACGCCAUUAGAGUUGAAACUACUAAUGGCGCACCUGGCCCAGGGUGCGCCAUUAGUAUCAAUUUUUUUUAACUAGUGCGCCUGUCCAAACAUACUAAUGAUGCAUCCAGACACAGUGCGCCAUUACUAGUUGUAACUAGUAAUGGCGCACCUGUCGGAAAGUGCGCCACUAAUGUUGUUUUUUUUAUUAUAUUUUUUAUUCCCUUUUUUGCAAAACUACUAAUGGCGCACUGUUCCACCGUGCGCCAUUACUAGUUUAAACUAGUAAUGGCGCACUGUGGGCAGUGCGCCAUUAGUAUGUUUUUUUUUGCAAAACUACUAAUGGCGCAGCACCAGAAGGUGCGCCAUUAGUAACCUGGAUUACUAAUGGCGCAUUUAGAGUUGGUGCGCCAUUAGUAAGUGGGCAGCAACAAGAUAUUUUGGACAGCCUCUCCUACCCACACUCACUUUCUCCCCACUUCAUUCUCUCCACCUCCUCCCUGUCUCGGGUGCCUCCUCUUUUUCACCUCAUUUCCACCAUAGAUUCAUUCAAUUUAAGUGGUUAAAUUACCUUGUUUUGAUAGGUAAGUAAGGGGGGAAGCUAUAUUUAUGUUGUUCUCCCUACAACAAUGUGCACAUGCACUUUUUAUGGCCUAGCUAGAUCUAUGUAUGUUCGUGGUGUUGCAUAUGUUUGUGGUGUUGCAUAUGUGUUUGUGUUUGGAGGUGUACCAGUAUUUGAAAUGCGAUAGUUGCCAAUAUUUUGCCGGAAUGUUGAUUCAUUUCCGUUUCGGCGAGAAUUUUGGCAUUAAGCAUUCUUUUUGGUCCUAUUUUUAGGGAAAGUCAUGCCAAAUUUUUUCUUGGUUCUAAAAUAUCGUUUUGCUCUACCCCGCAGGAGACCAUGGUCAGCAUGAUGACCGAAGGCAUCGUGAAUAGGUUUUUGAGGUCUGCGAAGGCCGAGAUGCUUCAAAAGAAUGAGACGGAGAUAAGAUGUCUGUGUCAAAGAUGCAAGCUGAAGAGCCUUAUUGCGGACCCGGAAUCCGGGCAGGUGCGGGACCACCUGCAAUUGUGUGGUUUCAUGGAUGGCUAUCGGUGGCAAGGUGAUGAAGAUGACUACGAAGUCGUCCAUGGGGGCCGGGCAAGAAAUGAGGAAGGGCAGCAAGACAACCACCGUGGCUCGGGCGGGCGAGAAGACGAAGAAUCCCCAGGAGAUGAUCACGACGGUGAUGCUGUACACAGUCAUCAAGUAGAAGAUGCAGGACAUGAUGAUGAGGAAGAUGCCGGAGCAGACGACGGGCAUCAUCAUGAAGAUGAUGAUGCCGGCGGAGCAGACGACGCUGGACCAUCGAUGGGCUGGGUGUAGGACCCUCAUAUUCAAGAGCUGCUUCUCAAGCAGACGGAUAACGCAAGAGCUGCCGCCCGAGAGAAAGCCAAGAUGGAUCAACUUGAGUUAGACGCGGUUACUCCAUUGUAUGAAGGAUGCAGGCCCGAGGAUACCUGCCUGAAAGUAACGCUCAUGGUUCUGGAGAUGAAGGUAAAACACAAAAUGACCGACGCAUGCUUCGACGAGAACAUGUCAUUCUGGCACGAACGUCUUCCAAAGGGGAACAAGUGCCCGACCAGUUUGGAGGAGGCGAAGAAAAUCGUGUGUCCUCUGGAUUUACCGCACGUGAAAUACCAUGUGUGCAUGAAAAAUUGCAUCAUUUAUCGGGACGAGCACGCGGAGUCUACCAUAUGUCCGGUGUGCGGCGUCACUCGAUACAAGAAGAGGAAGAAAGCUCCUCGAAAAGUGGUGUGGUACUUUCCGAUCACUCCUCGUCUGCAGCGGUAUUUCGCGGACCCUAAGGUAGCAAAGCUCCUGCGUUGGCACGCGGAUAGGGAGGAGAAGAAGCGAGAAGAUGACGCAAAUGAUCCGGAGAUAGAUAAAAAAGACAAGAUGCUGAGUCACCCUAAGGAUGCGAGCCAGUGGCAAGCGUUGAACUUCGAAGACCUAGAAUUUGGGAACGAUCCAAGGAACAUCGUGCUAGGCGCGAGCACCGAUGGAUUCAAUCCGUUUGGCAGCCAGAGAAGCACACAUAUCACCUGGCUUGUGUUUGUGUGGAUGUACAACCUUCCCCCCUAGUUGUGCAUGAAGAGGAAGUACAUUCACAUGAGUAUGCUAAUUGAAGGACCAAAACAACCAGGGAACGACAUCAAUCUGUAUCUGGGGCUGCUGAAAGAGGAGCUUGACACGCUGUGGAAAACGCCAGCCAAUACGUGGGACGCCGCAGAGAAAGAAUAUUUCCCUAUGAGAGCCGCGCUGCUCACGACGGUGCACGACUAUCUCGGUUACGGAUAUGUCGUAGGGUAGGUGGUCCACGGAUUUUCUGGAUGCGUCAGGUGCAUGGAUGACACAACGUAUCGCCAGCUAGAUAGAGAUCCCGGGUCUUCGAAAACCGUGUUCAUGGGACAUCGAAGGUGGCUUCGCGACGAUGACCCGUGGAGAAAAUGCAAGGAUCUGUUCGAUGGUUAAACUGAACCCCGAGGACGCCCGCGUACGAGGAGUGGCGAGGAAAUAGACGAGCUGUUGAAAAAUUGGAAAGACUGCCCACUGCCGAGAAAGAAGCGAAAGGCGCCAGAGCCGGGAAAGAAGCGAAAGGUGCCAGAGCCGCUGCUGAAGGUAUGGAAAACGAGGUCUGUUUUUUGGGACUUGCCGUACUGGAAGAUCCACCGUGUGCCUCACAGCCUUGAUGUCAUGCAUAUCACGAAGAACGUGUGCGAGAGUCUGCUUGGUACCCUGCUCAACAUGCCAGAGAGGACCAAAGAUGGGCCGAAAGCAAGGGCAGACUUGAAAUCAAUGGGCAUCAGGCAGGAGCUUCACGCUAUAUAUGAUGAUCAUGAUGAUGAUGAUGAUGAUGAGGCGAAGUAGGACACGGAAAGUCGUUGCAAAGGCAAGAAGGCCAAGAAGACCGGAAAUGACUACCCUCCCGCGUGCUUCACUCUAAGUCAGGAGGAGAUCGAGCAGUUUUUCACCUGCCUCAUAGGAGUAAAACUUCCUUACGGUUACGCGGGGAAGAUAAGCAGAUACCUAGACCCAGCGAAGCUGAAGUUCAGCGGGAUGAAGUCUCACGACUGUCAUGUGCUGAUGACGCAGAUACUUCCAGUUGCAAUCCGUGGGAUCAUGGACGCGCACGUCCGUGAAACCCUAUUUGGCCUAUGCAACUUUUUCGACGUCAUCUCUCGGAAGUCUGUUGGCGUGAGGCAACUCAGAAGGCUAUAGGAAGAGAUCAUGGUGAUACUAUGCGAGCUUGAGAUGUACUUCCCGCCCGCAUUCUUCGACGUUAUGGUGCAUCUGCUAGUCCAUAUCGUGGACGAUAUCAUCCAACUCGGGCCGACGUUCCUGCACAGCAUGAUGCCGUUCGAAAGGAUGAAUGGUGUCAUCAAAGGAUACGUUCGCAACAUGUCACGUCCAAAGGGAAGCAUAGCCAGAGGCUUUCUGACCGAAGAGUGCAUCUCCUACUGCACGAAUUAUCUAGGCAUCGAGAACCCCGUUGGUCUGCCCGUCAACAGGCACCUCGGCAGGCUCGCUGGAUGGGGUCACCAUGAGGGUCGUCGCGAAAUGCAUGUCGACUUCGAGGGUCGACUCACCGACUUUGAAAGAGCAAACCUAGUCGCGCUACAACACAUAGACGUGGUUGAUCCUUGGGUGGUACAACACAAAACCUUUAUUAAGAAGACGUACAAUGACCGAGGCCAACAGAGGACGGACGGAGAUAUACUCAAAGAGCACAACUCAUGUUUCACGCAUUGGUUCAAGCAGAAGCUUCUAUCGUACCCUUUACAUGAGGAUUCUUCCGCGGAAGAACAACUCAUAUUCGCCCUGUCACAGGGCACCGAGCACAACCUGAUGACCUAUGAGGCGUACGAUAUCAACGGCUACACAUUCUACACCGAGGCCAAGGACAUGAAGAGCGAUGGUUAUCAGAACUCCGGGGUAACCAUGGAAUCCUACACCGGUAAUGACAAGGACAAAUACUACGGAAGGAUCGAGGAGAUCUGGGAGCUGAGCUACGCUGGAGAGAAGGUCCCGAUGUUCCGUGUCAGAUGGGCCAAGAGCGUCCUAAAAGAAGACCGGUAUUUCACCACCAUGGUUAUACCCGAAGCCAAAUCCAAGACCGCGGGCGCAAACAUCACCACGAAAAAUGAGCCAUGGGUACUGGCUUCCCAAGUGGACCAAUGCUUCUUCAUUACCGACCCGUCAAAGCCCAGUCGUGUUGUCGUGAGGAGAGGCAAAAGGAAGAUCAUCGGAAUGGAUGGAGUAGCCAAUGAGCAAGACUUCGACAAGUACGGCGACCCGAGGAUCGAACAUGACGAUGAGAUGAAGUAGCAGCAUACACCACAAGAAGAAGCAGGACCACCCUACCUAAAGGACGUCCGUUCCACAGAAGAACUCCAUUUGCGAAAAAGAAGGGCAAGAAGAUUGUGAACAGAUAGCUAGCUAAGAUCGAUUGUAUUUAAAUCGUAGCCUUCAUUUCUCGAUUGUAUUUCAUGGGCACUUUUUGAACUAUCAUGAAUAUUUUUAAAUUUCAUGGACACUCAAUCUCGAUCCCCCUCCAUCUCGAUCGNNNNNNNNNNNNNNNNNNNNNNNNNNNNNNNNNNNNNNNNNNNNNNNNNNNNNNNNNNNNNNNNNNNNNNNNNNNNNNNNNNNNNNNNNNNNNNNNNNNNNNNNNNNNNNNNNNNNNNNNNNNNNNNNNNNNNNNNNNNNNNNNNNNNNNNNNNNNNNNNNNNNNNNNNNNNNNNNNNNNNNNNNNNNNNNNNNNNNNNNNNNNNNNNNNNNNNNNNNNNNNNNNNNNNNNNNNNNNNNNNNNNNNNNNNNNNNNNNNNNNNNNNNNNNNNNNNNNNNNNNNNNNNNNNNNNNNNNNNNNNNNNNNNNNNNNNNNNNNNNNNNNNNNNNNNNNNNNNNNNNNNNNNNNNNNNNNNNNNNNNNNNNNNNNNNNNNNNNNNNNNNNNNNNNNNNNNNNNNNNNNNNNNCGCUCCACCGGCAUUACUGUUUGAUGAUAUUUUAAAAAAAAAUAUUAAUGUCUUAUGAAAAAAAAUAUUACUGUUAUGAUUUAAACAAGUUUGAACAUAUUUAAACACAAAUAAGUAUCAAACAGCAUUUUAAAUGCAUAAAAACAAUUUGUGGAGCCUGGGAAUCGAACAUAGGACCUCCUGGUGUGAGAACUAGCUGCUAACCAGUCGAGCUAGUAGAGGGAACUUGGUGUGGAUUAGGUCGGGUGGAAGAUAAGCUGUUGGCUCGAGCAGAAAUCAAAACAAAAAUACUAAUGGCGCACCACGGUGAGGUGCGCCAUUAGUAUGGAUGUACUUAUGGCGCACAGAGGGGUGGUGCGCCAUUAGUAUUGUGCCUGAUCCCCCCUUCCCUCUCCCCCUUCGCCCGAUCCCCCCUUCCCUCUCCCCCUCGCCAGUUCCCUCUCCCUCGUCCCUCCCUCCACCGCGCCGCCGCCGCUGCUGCCCUCUCCCUCUAGCCUCUCUCCCUCCCUCGCCAGAUCCACCUCUCGCCCAAACCUAACCCGACGCUAUUCGCCCGCGCCCGCUCCACCGCCGCCGCCCUGCCUCGCCCUCUCCGCCCUCUCCUCGCCCUCNNNNNNNNNNNNNNNNNNNNNNNNNNNNNNNNNNNNNNNNNNNNNNNNNNNNNNNNNNNNNNNNNNNNNNNNNNNNNNNNNNNNNNNNNNNNNNNNNNNNNNNNNNNNNNNNNNNNNNNNNNNNNNNNNNNNNNNNNNNNNNNNNNNNNNNNNNNNNNNNNNNNNNNNNNNNNNNNNNNNNNNNNNNNNNNNNNNNNNNNNNNNNNNNNNNNNNNNNNNNNNNNNNNNNNNNNNNNNNNNNNNNNNNNNNNNNNNNNNNNNNNNNNNNNNNNNNNNNNNNNNNNNNNNNNNNNNNNNNNNNNNNNNNNNNNNNNNNNNNNNNNNNNNNNNNNNNNNNNNNNNNNNNNNNNNNNNNNNNNNNNNNNNNNNNNNNNNNNNNNNNNNNNNNNNNNNNNNNNNNNNNNNNNNNNNNNNNNNNNNNNNNNNNNNNNNNNNNNNNNNNNNNNNNNNNNNNNNNNNNNNNNNNNNNNNNNNNNNNNNNNNNNNNNNNNNNNNNNNNNNNNNNNNNNNNNNNNNNNNNNNNNNNNNNNNNNNNNNNNNNNNNNNNNNNNNNNNNNNNNNNNNNNNNNNNNNNNNNNNNNNNNNNNNNNNNNNNNNNNNNNNNNNNNNNNNNNNNNNNNNNNNNNNNNNNNNNNNNNNNNNNNNNNNNNNNNNNCGCCCUCGCCCUCUCCCUCCCUCGCCCUCUCCUCGCCUUCCCUCUCCCUCGCCCUCUCCCUGCCUUCCCUCGCCCUCUCCCUACCUCGCCCUCUCCUCUCCCCCAGAGCCUAGAAAGCCUCGCCGCUGUCGCACCGUCCCGGAAAACCACCUCUGCACAUCGGUCGCCGGCCGCGGGGAGACACCAGCGCUUCUUCUCGCUCGGGACGCUGCUGCUCGUCAAGGUAAUCCUCAAUUUUCUCUUCUCUUCCCUUCCCUUCCAUUCCCUUCCCUUUGAUUUUCUCAUGCGCUUUGGCUUCCUUUGCUCACGUAGGUGCACGCGUCAGACGCCACCAACCUUUGAUUUGCUGGCCGUGGCACAAGCAGCUCUGCCUGCACAUCUGGUUUGGUCUCUUAGACUAGGUAUAAUCCCAUCCCCCUCUCCUCUGCCCUGCUCUUUCUCUGCCUGUGCUGUUUAGGGAUGGAAUGCAUGCCCAACUGUGCGAUUGCUUAAUUUGUAGCCAUUAUUCUAGCUGAUUAUGUUGUUCUUUAGCUGUCCCCAUGUAAUUACUCAGCCCAAUCAAAUUGCCUGGAACUCGUUGGCGAAAACCAUUAGUAAUUAGAUAAGUGAACUUUUGCAUCUUAUUUUUCACACAAAAACCCUCUUUUGGCACUUGAAAAAUGAAAAUUUAUUUUUUUAUUACAAAAAGUUAGAACCUCCCAUGUGCAAUCUUGUUUGGCAUGCUAAGCACCAUGUUUGUGCCAACUAUCGUCACAUUAUAUAAAAUUGACAUGGAUAUAGCCAUGAACUUGGUCAUUUGGCUUGAAAGCCAUGAACCUUCAUAUUUUUUAGGAGAGAUGCCUCGCAAACAGACACAUCUCCAUCCCAUUCACAUAUCUUAUUCUAGAAAAACUGUUUUGAGAACCAUGAAACUAGAUGAAAACUAUUUGAGAACCUCAGACAGCAUUUCAAAUACUCCAUCCAAUUCAAAAUACUGCACAGUAGUUUUGUCCCAAGCCAAACUUUGUAAAUAUCACCAAGUUUAUAGAGAAACAUAUCAUUGACAUUUUUCCCUAUAAUCAACCUGGUCCAAAUUUACAAGGUUUGGUUUUUGAACAGAAAUUAACAUGCAAUGUAUUCUGAAAUGUUAGGAAUAUAGUAUAAUGCAAAAGCACUGCCAACCAGCAAUCAAACUAAACUGCGACAACCAUUGGUGAUUUUAUCUGCUUGGUGUCCUCGUUGGCGCUAGGACCCUAGCAUAACAGCGUGCAUACGUGUCUGUGAUGUGCACGGAACUGACCGAUGUCAGGGCGGGUUUCACUACGUUUCAAUGGUUCUGGUAGGCCGAGCCACCUGCAAUUUUUGUGCAUUCCAUCCCUAAACACCACCACGCAAUCAAUUGUUCGAGUAUGUUUGUUUCCCAGUGCUGUUUGGAGCAACAGCAGGAUCCUUCUUGUACUCCUAACAUAGCAGGUUGCUUGUACUUCAUGUUUGACAGUUUGAGUACUUCUUGUUGAAGGUUGUUGUACUUCAUGUUGGAGCAGUGAACAUGACAGGUUAAUUUCAGAUAUGACACUGUUUGGACAUUAAUUUGAGUAGAUGAACAUUUUGUGGUUCUGCUAGGACUUGCUCCAGAUUUUUAACCCUAGGAUUUCUUUUCUUUUAGUUCUUUUCUUAUAGAAAAUUUACUGAAAUUUCAAAAACAUGGAGUAGCUAAGUGUAUUACUUGUGAUGAUGCUGCUGCUGCUGCUGUACUACUUGUGAUGAUGUUGCUGCUGUACUACUUGUGAUGCUGCUGCUAGUUGUGAUUUUGUCAAGUGAUGCUGCUGCUACUUGUGAUCUUCUAAAAUGACCCCUUUCUCCUGAAACGUUGAUUAAUUUCUAUUUUGGUUGAGAAAUGGGGCACUCCUAGGUCAAGAAAAUUAGCAAAGGUCAUGCCCAAUUUUCUUGACCUAGAAGGUGCCCGAUUCUCAACCGAAAUAAAAAUUAAUUUGCUUUAGUGGUUGGAUUAGUUUAGUAUUUUUUUCACACACUCAGACACCCUUGCUUGCCAUGUGUGUGAGAGAGAUAGUGAGAGGAGACAAGAAGAAGGGGGUUAGGAAGAUGUUGCCUGCUCAUCAAAGCUAACCAUCUCCCCCUUUUCACCCCUUUUCGUUUGUCUUUUUUGGGUUGCAAGGAAGCUACUGUCUUAGCUAGCUUAGCUUGUGCACAAAUCCCAGUGUUACAAUCUAGAAAAUUAGCCUGCAAAGAUGAGGUCCCAUGCUGGCUGUACCACUGCAUCAUGCAACAGUGCCUUCAAGAUCCAAGGCAAUAUCACAAACAUCAUAGGCAAUUUGACCAAACUCACAACCUUGUAUCUUUGCAGCAACCAACUUUCUAGACACACCCCUCAAGAACUAGGUUACCCUGAGAACGUGGACUUGGACCUUAGCAACAACACACUAACAGGUUCUAUCCCAAAACACCUAGGCAAUAUCACAAACAUCUCUCAAUUGUUCCUUGACAAUAACCAACUUUUUGGCGACAUUCCUCGAGAAUUAGGUUAUUUGGUCAACUUAGAGAUCUUGUUCCUUGACAAUAACCAACUUUUUGACCAAACUUUGUUCCUAUUUAGAGAGAAACAUGGCCAACAACGAUGAGGCCAGGGGUUCGCGCGUCAAGCCAUUCUGGGAGCUGUCCCAGGAGAUGGAGGAACAACCUCACUUGUAUGAGGAUGCCGCCUUCCCCACCGAUCCUGAGACCACUGAUGGUACCGCCGAGGAUGACCCCACUGAUGCCACCACUGAUGGUGCCGCCGAGGAUGCCACCACUAAUGAUGGCGGCGCACGCACAGAUGGCAGCCAACCGAAGAGGCAACGGAAGGACCAGCGCCAGACCGUGCUCCGCACCCUCAAGGAGGAAGUUACUGAAGUGGACUCCAACAGGAAUCCAACGGCGCCCGAAUGAAUAGUCAAGGGGUACUCGCUUCAGCUCGGGUGCAUUCUCUGGAGCACCGUCUCGAUCAACACCGAGAACCUGAGGCAUCCUGACCGAGGGAAUUUGCGCAACCUCCUCUUCACGAAGCUGCACGAACGAUACAAGUUCCCCGCUGAAUUUGAAAACACAAGCCUCAAAGGGAAUAAAGUGAACAAUGCUGCCCUCACGAAGAUGAGCAAGGCCCUGUCUACUUGGAAAAGCAAUGUGAAGAGAAUGACUACAACGACUUCAAGAUCAAUUGCUCGAGCACCGCAAACUCCGAAUCAAGUAAGUGGGGGAAAGAAAUGCGGGAGCUGAACUUAGGGGAACACACACUCGGUCCCGGCGGUUACAGAGUGGCGGAGCCUAUAUGGGACAAGGAGGAGGCGGACCGUGCCGAGCAAGGCCUACCACCCCUCUUUGAUAAAUACGGUGACAAGUAGACCAGGAACUUUGUCAGGGCUCGGUACAAGAAGGACCCGAAAACAAAGGAGCUUCCCACGGAUCCGAAGACCAGGGCGCUUGAGCUUGUUCUGGUAAGGAAUACACCCCCGCGUAAUUAGCUCCAUAUGGUUGCAUUCUAAUUAAUGAAGCCAAAUUUCUAAAUGGUUCACAUUCCUUCCGCAGGUGACUGAAAGCAGUAGCGCGGGGUCGACUAAGAGCAACCCUUGGGACACCACUCUAAAUAGGGCGUUGAAUGUAAUGAAGAACAAGGAUAAGCUCAGUAAGCCGACGUCCGCUGGUCGUGUGGCCGGCAAAGGCUUGUCGACAAAAUGGUCGUCAUACUAUAACACUGGUGGGCGAAAGGAGAAAAAGACCAGCUCAGAAAGCCAGGCGCACGAGGUUCGAGAACUCAGGGCACAGGUGGCGCCGAAUCCGGAGAUUGUCCAAGAGCAAGUGCAACAACAACUCGGAGCGACGAUCACCGCCAUUGUGCCUACCUUGAUCCAGGGGAUUAGUGCGUGGAUUGCGGGCGGCCAACAGGGGCCGCCCCCGAUUCCUAGCUUCACGGCCAGCAACUCGCAGAACGCGAUGGCGGGGCCAUUGGUGUCUCCGGCGGAGGCGGCAUUGGUGUCUCCGACGCCGGCACGGGAGCUUAAUGCACCCGGAUGUACGUCGGCCGGCACCUCUGCAGCAAGCGGCCCCUCCGUCAACUCCAUGCCCUCCGUUGGCGGUGCCUCGACAUUAGCCAAGCUCGACGCCAUCAUCACGGUAACUAAUUAAGCCUCUCUCAGCCGAGGACUUCAUUUCCUUGCCUUUGACGGGGCAUCCCUGACGCCCUACAUGUUUUCGCAGGGUGCCGCCGACGUUCCGUGCACUCUCCUGCACUUCGUGAACAACGAGUUGGUCGAUGUCGCCAAGGGCAAAAUCGUUCAACCGGGCAACCCCUUGUUCCACGGUACCCAGAUGCCACCCAACUUGUUUAGGGUUCAACUGGUUCGGGUGCUGCCAGGCUGCGAUGAGUUGUUACCUCCGAUUCAACCCGUCGGGGCCGACGAUGAUGAUGUGAUGACCCUCAGCGCCUGCCUGAGCUGGCCCCUUCUUUGGCCGAAGAGCCAGAUUCGUUUGGGGGCGGGGGACACAACCCCAAAAACAACACCGCCAGUCGUGCUGGCGCCAAGUCGGCCCCAUGGCAAGACCGCCGCAAUGGUGCCAGACAUCCCUAUGCCACUGGAUCCAAACAUGCAUAUGGCACAGGAUCAGAACGACGACGACGACGAUACAUUUGCCAAUGUCGAUCAGUACUUUGCCGAUCAUGGGUAUGGUGGCGACUUCAUGGGGCCUCCUUCUCAAGAACCCAACCCAACAAAAGACGUGCGCGAUCUAGCUGGUACCGCGGAGAAGCCAAGUUGCAACAGGCGUCGUCUGCAGUUCAGCUCUCAGGAGACGCCUCCAGCUGCCGACUUCACCGAGCCUCAGAUAGGCGAGGUGCAAACUAUGAUCAGCCCCAACACACUCAAGAAGGUGGUCUGUGAGCAGAACUCGGUCCCAUUACAGGAGAAGAAGAAGGCACGCAAAAGAAACACUAACAAGGGUGCGGGCCAGCCGGCAACGAGUACGAUCCAUGCUCAGGAUGGGCCACCUUCACCUGAGGAUAUCUCGAGGAGGGUGCAUGUGGCGGGUAGGCCGAUGCUACCGAGAAAUAUGCUCGAUGCUGCAACCGGUGCUAUGCGGAGUCUGCAUGACAGUGUUCUUUCUUUGGAGAAGCGGCGUCUCGGAGAGAAGGAUGUGGCAUACCCGGUUUUCAUGGCCAAGGUGCCAGAGGGCAAGGGCUUUGUGGAUAACUCCAUCGAGGUACGUUCGUCCUACGGUUUGAUGACAUCCACGCUAUGUUGAACCUUCAUCCGCUGCACUACACCUUCGUUCGGCUAUUUUCGCUGAGUAUGGAGAUGCGGAUCAUUCGCGACAAGACCCCGGACAUCGUGAUAGUCGACCCCUUCUACAUGCGUGCCAAGAUCUUGGGCAGCACUGGGGACCGGCAAGUCGCGAGUUCUUACCUCGAAGGCGUCAUUCUGGCAAACCAAGAUAAGGAUAACUUCCUCGUGCCUUACUUUCCCGAGUAAGUCCUCCCCUCAACCGCCCCGUAACAUAUGAAUUCUUAGAUUUCGAUCGUUUUUCUUUAAACAUUCUGUGUUUUCUGAAGUGACACACAUUGCACGCUCAACCUCCUAAGCCCCAAAUAUUCCAUGGCCACGUAUUUCGACCCGGACCGCCAAUCAAACGUUGACUACUCAAAUGUCAAGAAGGUUCUUGAUGAUGUUCUCCCCGGCUACGUCAAAUCUGGAGGCACCUUCACCAGGCCUAUUCGUAAGUACGGCAAGCAUGUGUUCUCCCAUAAUACGACGUUCUGCUGCGUCAAGCAGCUGCCUGGCGGUCAGAAGGGUGCCUACUACGCCAUCCAUCACAUGCGGGCGAUCAUACGGGAUCAUCAUCAACUUCUGCUACCGCGUAGACUCAAAGAUUGGGCCGCGAGCGUGUCGGCAAUCUAGGACGCGGACAUCAGACAAGAAUUCUUUCGCAUCCAGUCAGAGUUUGCGGAAAUCAUCCAUCAAGAUGUCCUUCGUACCGCGGGGUAGUUCUACCUAAGAAAUCAACCGUCCAACAAUGACAUCGACACAAUCCUACCAAUGCAGGCUGACAACGCCCGUUGUUUCAUGACUCCCACGAUAGACGGCGGCUUCAUCCACGCUCCGGUCCCUUGAGUCGAGUCGAAAGCAGUGAUGCUGUGUCUAGUUCUGAAACAUCGAUUGGCUCAUGUUGUAAUUAAACUUUAAUGAACUUGUAGUAUGUCUCUUUGGUUUCGAGAGUCGUUUAACUUAGAUGUAAUCGAUGCUAUUAAUGUCUUGCUUUUCUCUUCUGAUCGUUCUGUUGCAUACUUAUAUAUUGCUUAUGUAUUGUCUGUGAAUUGGUACUAACGUUUCAUUUGGCUACUGCAUAGCGAUGCCGUGGUAUGUCCUGUACAAAGGUAAGGUUCCCGGAGUCUACAACGACUGGGAGGAGUGUCGGAGACAGGUUCACCAAUUCAGCGGUAACAGUUACAAAGGGUACACCACUAGGGCCGAGGCCUAAUCUAGAUACGCCCGCUAUCUAGCGGGAGAGGGGAGGGAGCGUUGGAGGAACCGGAUGAAGACGAGUUUCAUCGUGAUGAUGCUCAUCGUGAUGACCGCAGCUGUCUUCUAUGUGAUGGUAGUUUAGAUGAUCGAUAUCGACUUGUAAUGUGAAGACAAACUCGCGGUCUCGAGACUUGUAAUAUAAUGUUCUAUCUUUGUUCGGUCUUUUCAAUUCGGAGACUAAUAUGAUAAAUUGUAUUCGGAGACUAAAAUGAUGAAUUGUAUUCAGAGACUAAUCUUCUAUUGUAUUCGAUGAAUCUGUUGUUGAUGUGUGCUGUCUAUAUUUUGUCCAAUUAUACAUUUUGUAACCUGUGCAAAAAACAGAAAAUAAAAAAAAUAAAAAAACCUAAUAUUCAUACUAAUGGCGCAUCACAUCAUAGUGCGCCAUUAGUAUGCCAAAGGAUACUAAUGGCGC
rnacentral:lncRNA from 1 species